GGUAAUAUUAUAAAUUAAAGGUGAGCGGGAGAUGCACGGCCAUCGCACGGCCAACCCGACACAUCCUAUUUCUUUGUUUGUUUUUUUGAAUUGGAAAUGCGUGUUCGACAAAAAAAAGAAAAGAAAAAAGAAAUGGAAAAUGCAAUGGGAUAUUGUAAAUAAUAAUGAUCUCCUUCUUUUUUUAAAAUGGUGGGUAGGGUAGGGUAGGGUUUAGGGUUGGUUUGUAUAAUAAGAGGCGAGGGAGAGCAUGGCCCAACCCACCGACACUUAAUUUUUUGCCUUUUGCGUGAAAAUAGCAUUCACUGAAUAGUAAAUGCGCGGACAACCGUUCAAAUCGGUUGGUCAAUUAAGAUAUCAAUUAAAUUCCUAAAAAUACUAAGCCUUAUUUUUAGGGAUUAACCUUUUCAUAAGUGCACCACAUACAAGUCUCAAUUCUCAAUUCUCAAUUCUCUCUCUCCCAACCAAGUCUCGAUUAUAUCUCCCAACCGUCUGUUCUUCUCUUCCUCUCCAUAAUCUUUCCUCAGCUAGAACCCUCGCGAUCUUUCUCCCUCCUCUCCGCCCUUGCCUCUCUUUUGCUCUCCCUGUCCCUUCUCACCCCAAGCACCAGAACCCUCUCGAUUAUCACCCUUCGCUCUCCAUCGCUCUCCCAACCUCGGUUCUCUCUAUCCCAACCAAGCCUCGAUUAUANNNNNN
rnacentral:lncRNA from 1 species